ensembl:miRNA
CUAGGAGGGAUAGGAGAGAGGACUGUGAGGCAUGGGUGGCUCUAUGGUCACGCCCAUCUUCCUAC